rnacentral:rRNA from 1 species
GGAAUAUUGCGCAAUGGGCGAAAGCCUGACGCAGCAACGCCGCGUGGGGGAUGAAGGUUCUCGGAUUGUAAACCCCUUUCGACCGGAACGAAUUCCCUCCUGGUGAAUAAUCAGGAGGAUCGACGGUACCGGGAGAAGAAGCCACGGCUAACUCUGUGCCAGCAGCCGCGGUAAGACAGAGGUGGCGAGCGUUGUUCGGAUUUAUUGGGCGUAAAGCGAACGCAGGUGGUUUGGUAAGUCAGGGGUGAAAGACCACAGCUUAACUGUGGCACUGCCUUUGAUACUGCCUUUCUUGAGUGCAUGAGGGGGAAGCGGAAUUCCGAGUGUAGAGGUGAAAUUCGUAGAUAUUCGGAGGAACACCGGUGGCGAAGGCGGCUUCCUGGCAUGUAACUGACACUCAUGUUCGAAAGCGUGGGUAGCAAACAGGAUUAGA